GUGAGGAAUAUUGGACAAUGGGCGCAAGCCUGAUCCAGCAAUGCCGCGUGCAGGAAGAAGGCCUUCGGGUUGUAAACUGCUUUUGUACGGAACGAAACGGUCCUGGUUAAUACCUGGGGCUAAUGACGGUACCGUAAGAAUAAGCACCGGCUAACUACGUGCCAGCAGCCGCGGUAAUACGUAGGGUGCAAGCGUUAAUCGGAAUUACUGGGCGUAAAGCGUGCGCAGGCGGUUUUGUAAGACAGGCGUGAAAUCCCCGGGCUCAACCUGGGAAUUGCGCUUGUGACUGCAAGGCUGGAGUGCGGCAGAGGGGGAUGGAAUUCCGCGUGUAGCAGUGAAAUGCGUAGAUAUGCGGAGGAACACCGAUGGCGAAGGCAAUCCCCUGGGCCUGCACUGACGCUCAUGCACGAAAGCGUGGGGAGCAAACAGGAUUAGAAACCCCGGUAGUCC
rnacentral:rRNA from 1 species